rnacentral:rRNA from 1 species
AUUGAACGCUGGCGGCAGGCCUAACACAUGCAAGUCGAGCGGAUGAAGGCAGCUUGCUUCUGGAUUCCGCGGCGGACGGGUGUGUAAUGCCUAGGAAUCUGCCUGGUAGUGGGGGAUAACGUCCGGAAACGGGCGCUAAUACUGCCUACGUCCUGCGGGAGCAAGAGGGGGGUGUUCGGACCUUUCGCUCUCAGAUGAGUCUAGGUCGGAUUGGUUAGUUGGUGGGGGAAAGGCCUACCAAGGCGACCAUUCGUAACUGGUCUGCGUGGAUGGUCAGUCACAUGGGAACUGAAACACGGUCCAGAGUCCUACGGGAGGCAGCAGUGGGGAAUAUUAGGCAGUGGGCGGAAACCUGGUACAGCCAUGCGGAGUGUGUGAAGAAGGUCUUCGGAUUGUAAAGCACGUUUAGUUGGGGGAAAGGGCAGUAAGUUAAUACCUUGCUGUUUUGACGUUACCAGCAGAAGAAGCACCGGCUAACUUCGUG